UAUCUCUGUAGAGUCUGCAUAUCAAUAAGCGGAGGAAAAGAAACUAACAAGGAUUCCCUUAGUAACGGCGAGUGAAGCGGGAAGAGCUCAAAUUUGAAAUCUUCAAGGUUUUACCUUGACGAAUUGUAGUUUAAAGAAGUGUUUUCUGUUGAAGUUUCGGUAAAAGUUCUUUGGAAUAGGACAUCAUAGAGGGUGAGAAUCCCGUAUUUGACCGUUAUUUUCAGCUGUGUGAUACACUUUCAAAGAGUCGGAUUGUUUGGGAAUGCAGUCCAAAAUGGGUGGUAAAUUUCAUCUAAAGCUAAAUAUUGGCGAGAGACCGAUAGCGAACAAGUACCGUGAGGGAAAGAUGAAAAGAACUUUGAAAAGAGAGUUAAACAGUACGUGAAAUUGUCAAAAGGGAAGCGUUUGACACCAGUGUUGUUUUCUCGAAAAUCAAUUAAAAAAAGUUGGAUUUUGUAUUGUUAAGACCUUAUCAGCUUACUGUACUCUUUUCUUGCUUUUUUUAAUGCACUUUUCGUUUAACAAGUCAACAUCAAUUUCUUUUGUUGUAAAAGAGUCAUUGGAAGGUGGCUUUCACUUCGGUGAAAGUGUUUAUAGCCUUUGGCUUCUGCAAUCGGAGAGAUUGAGGUCUGCAGCGUAGAUCCUUCGGGGCUAGAUACGUAGAUGCUAAGUUAUAGUUUUUUAUAGACAACUUGUUGACUAUAAUUAAUCAUGUAGCUUACUCGUUUGCGCUAUUUUACCUACGCUUAGGAUGUUGAAGAUGUAGCACAUCAU
rnacentral:rRNA from 1 species